rnacentral:rRNA from 1 species
AGCUCCAGUAGCGUAUAUUAAAGUUGUUGCAGUUAAAAAGCUCGUAGUUGGAUUUCUGGUCUAAUGCGCCUGGCCCGCCACGGUUACGUGUGUGAGUGCCGGUGUGCGUUGACCAUCUUCCUAGGAAACGGUGCUACCCUUCACUGGGUCGGCGCCGCGAUCUAGGACUUUUACUUUGAAAAAAUUAGAGUGUUUAAAGCAGGCUUUUGCUAUGAAUACAUUAGCAUGGAAUAAUAAUCUAGGACUUCGGUUCUAUUUUGUUGGUUUCUAGGACUGAAGUAAUGAUUGAUAGGGAUCGUUGGGGGUGCUAGUAUUGAGCGGCCAGAGGUGAAAUUCUUGGAUUCGCUCAAGACUAACUUAUGCGAAAGCAUUCACCAAGGAGGUCUUCUUUA